GACGCGAAGGCGCGAGCCGGAGCAAACCUCAUAAAAGAACGUCCCAGUUCAGACUGCAGGCUGCAACCCGCCUGCACGAAGUUGGAAUUGCUAGUAAUCGCGGAUCAGCAUGCCGCGGUGAAUACGUUCCCGGGCUUUGUACACACCGCCCGUCAAACCAUGGGAGUCGGUAACACCCGAAGCCUGUAGUCUAACCGCAAGGAGGACGCAGUCGAAGGUGGGAUUGAUGACUGGGGUGAAGUCGUAACAAGGUACC
rnacentral:rRNA from 1 species